AAUUUUGGACAAUGGGGGAAACCCUGAUCCAGCCAUCCCGCGCGUAUGAUGAAGGCAUUCGGGUUGUAAAGUACUUUUGGCAGAGAAGAAAAGGCAUCCCCUAACACGGGAUGCUGCUGACGGUAUCUGCAGAAUAAGCACAGGCCAACUACGUGCCAGCAGCCGCGGUAAUACGUAGGGUGCAAGCGUUAAUCGGAAUUACUGGGCGUAAAGCGUGAGUCGGCGGUUCGGGAAGAAAGAUGUGAAAUCCCAAGGCUCAAACUUGGAACUGCGUUUUUAACUGCCGAGCUAGAGUAUGUCAGAGGGGGGUAGAAUUCCACGUGUAUCAGUGAGAUGCGUAGAUAUGUGGAGGAAUACCGAUGGCGAGGGCAGCCCCCUGGGAUAAUACUGACGCUCAGACACGAAAGCGUGGGGAGCAAACAGG
rnacentral:rRNA from 1 species